CCUACGGGGGGCAGCAGUGGGGAAUAUUGCACAAUGGGCGCAAGCCUGAUGCAGCCAUGUCGCGUGUGUGAAGAAGGCCUUCGGGUUGUAAAGCACUUUCAGCGGGGAGGAAGGCGGUGAGGUUAAUAACCUCAUCGAUUGACGUUACCCGCAGAAGAAGCACCGGCUAACUCCGUGCCAGCAGCCGCGGUAAUACGGAGGGUGCAAGCGUUAAUCGGAAUUACUGGGCGUAAAGCGCACGCAGGCGGUCUGUCAAGUCGGAUGUGAAAUCCCCGGGCUCAACCUGGGAACUGCAUUCGAAACUGGCAGGCUAGAGUCUUGUAGAGGGGGGUAGAAUUCCAGGUGUAGCGGUGAAAUGCGUAGAGAUCUGGAGGAAUACCGGUGGCGAAGGCGGCCCCCUGGACAAAGACUGACGCUCAGGUGCGAAAGCGUGGGGAGCAAACAGGAUUAGAUACCCUAGUAGUC
rnacentral:rRNA from 1 species